rnacentral:misc_RNA from 1 species
AAGUCGUAACAAGGUUUCCGUAGGUGAACCUGCGGAAGGAUCAUUAUCGUAGGGCUUCGGCCCUGUCGAGAUAGAACCCUUGCCUUUAUGAGUACCGUCCGUUUCCUCGGCAGGCCCGCCUGCCGAUGGACCCAAAACCAAACCCUUUUAUCACCCUGUAUCAGUCUGAAAAUAAACAAAAUUAAA